rnacentral:rRNA from 1 species
UACGUAGGGUGCAAGCGUUAAUCGGAAUUACUGGGCGUAAAGCGUGCGCAGGCGGUGAUGUAAGACAGUUGUGAAAUCCCCGGGCUCAACCUCGGGUCUGCAUCCGAUACUGCCCGGCUAGAGGUAGGUAGGGGAGAUCGGAAUUCCUGGUGUAGCGGUGAAAUGCGCAGAUAUCAGGAGGAACACCGGUGGCGAAGGCGGGUCUCUGGGCAGUAACUGACGCUGAGACGCGAAAGCGUGGGGAGCAAACAGG